rnacentral:rRNA from 1 species
GACGAACGCUGGCGGCGUGCUUAACACAUGCAAGUCGAACGAUGAAGCCUAGCUUGCUAGGUGGAUUAGUGGCGAACGGGUGAGUAAUACGUGAGUAACCUACCUUUAACUCUGGGAUAAGCCUGGGAAACUGGGUCUAAUACCGGAUACGACCAAUCUCCGCAUGGAGUGUUGGUGGAAAGCGUUAUGUAGUGGUUAUAGAUGGGCUCACGGCCUAUCAGCUUGUUGGUGAGGUAACGGCUCACCAAGGCGACGACGGGUAGCCGGCCUGAGAGGGUGACCGGCCACACUGGGACUGAGACACGGCCCAGACUCCUACGGGAGGCAGCAGUGGGGAAUAUUGCACAAUGGGCGCAAGCCUGAUGCAGCGACGCCGCGUGAGGGAUGACGGCCUUCGGGUUGUAAACCUCUGUUAGCAGGGAAGAAGAGAAAUUGACGGUACCUGCAGAGAAAGCGCCGGCUAACUACGUGCCAGCAGCCGCGGUAAUACGUAGGGCGCGAGCGUUGUCCGGAAUUAUUGGGCGUAAAGAGCUUGUAGGCGGUUUGUCGCGUCUGCUGUGAAGGCCGGGGCUUAACCCCGUGUAUUGCGGUGGGUACGGGCAGACUAGAGUGCAGUAGGGGAGACUGGAACUCCUGGUGUAGCGGUGGAAUGCGCAGAUAUCAGGAAGAACACCGAUGGCGAAGGCAGGUCUCUGGGCUGUAACUGACGCUGAGAAGCGAAAGCAUGGGGAGCGAACAGGAUUAGAUACCCUGGUAGUCCAUGCCGUAAACGUUGGGCACUAGGUGUGGGGGACAUUCCACGUUUUCCGCGCCGUAGCUAACGCAUUAAGUGCCCCGCCUGGGGAGUACGGCCGCAAGGCUAAAACUCAAAGAAAUUGACGGGGGCCCGCACAAGCGGCGGAGCAUGCGGAUUAAUUCGAUGCAACGCGAAGAACCUUACCAAGGCUCGACAUAUACUGGACCGCAUCAGAGAUGGUGUUUCCCUUCGGGGCUGGUAUACAGGUGGUGCAUGGUUGUCGUCAGCUCGUGUCGUGAGAUGUUGGGUUAAGUCCCGCAACGAGCGCAACCCUCGUUCUAUGUUGCCAGCACGUUAUGGUGGGGACUCAUAGGAGACUGCCGGGGUCAACUCGGAGGAAGGUGGGGAUGACGUCAAAUCAUCAUGCCCCUUAUGUCUUGGGCUUCACGCAUGCUACAAUGGCCGGUACAGAGGGUUGCGAUACUGUGAGGUGGAGCUAAUCCCUAAAAGCCGGUCUCAGUUCGGAUUGGGGUCUGCAACUCGACCCCAUGAAGUCGGAGUCGCUAGUAAUCGCAGAUCAGCAACGCUGCGGUGAAUACGUUCCCGGGCCU